UACGUAGGGACCGAGCGUUGUCCGGAAUCAUUGGGCGUAAAGAGCGUGUAGGCGGCCACUUAAGUCCUGCGUGAAAUCUUGCGGCUCAACCGCAAGCGGUCGUGGGAAACUGGGUGGCUAGAGUGCGGGAGAGGAGAGUGGAAUUCCUGGUGUAGCGGUGGAAUGCGCAGAUAUCAGGAAGAACACCCGUGGCGAAGGCGGCUCUCUGGAACGCAACUGACGCUGAGACGCGAAAAGCGUGGGGGAGCAAAACAGG
rnacentral:rRNA from 1 species